UCCACUUUUCCAAAGGUUGAUUUAAUUUAAUUUCUGAAUCUAAGGCUCAAGAGAUCCGUUGCAUCACUACUUACUCACCAAGCUUGAAGACCACCGCGACUCAGCAAGGACCACAACGCAAUAAUACAUCCUCGAACAAGUCCCAAAAAUGGACGGAUGAAGGUUUGGGUAUGAGUGAAUAGUCCACGGCAACCCCACAAAGUCGAUCAACCUUUGCAAGUCUCGGGAAUAAACGGCACAAAAGUCGACCGCCAGCCAGAGAGCAGGAGCCUUUUGCAGUAGAACCUCCAAUGAACCAUGGCGGCGGAGUCGAGAGGAGGUUUGCCAGAAACGAUUGAACGAGAGAGAGAAAUGGGCUUAUAAUUAAUUCAUUUAUUUUGUAUAUAUUUUAACUGAAACAACACGUGCCCUGUUUUUAUUUGUUGUGCCCAAUUUUAAUGUGUUGUAUAUGUGCCUAGACAAGAGUUUCUCU
rnacentral:lncRNA from 1 species